GUUUGAAAUGUUUAGGUCAACGUUGCCUUUCAAAGAACAGUAUAACGGAUAAGCGAGUUUGCGGUUUUGCAGGAUCACAUUUAAUCAUAGAUUUUGUAAUCAAUAUCGAAACGUGGUUUUCAUAAAAAUGAUAACAUUCGAGCGAUUUCUACAUCGAUUAUUUGUAAAUCGAAAUCGGAUAUAAUUGUGGAGAUAUCUUAAAUUUAAUGCUUUAUAGAUAGAAUAUCGCUACAUCGACAUCAAAGAAAAAUCAUCAAAUCGCUGUAUAUUAUCACUGAUAAUUGUAAUUAAAAUAGCAAUUAAUCGAGAAACUUAUAUAUUUUGUAACAUAUAAAAAGAUAAAUAAAAAAAUAGAAAAAAAAAUAUAGAAAAAGUAUUACAAGUAUGCUGAGUAAAUAUUCAAGCAUAUGAUAUUCUUUAAUGCUUAGAAUUUAUGGCAACUGUAAAAAAAAAAAAGAAAAAAUAAUAUAAGUUUACUGAGAUGUAAAUAUUCAGAUAUUCAUCAGUUAUAAAUUCUUAAUUAAUUUAUCGAAGUUAUAAUAGAAAUUGCACAGGAAUACCAAAGAUCGUAAAUUCGUGAGUUUAUAGCAAAGAUAAGAUAUAUAAAAUCCACGUUUAAUUAACAAAAUUCUUUUAGACACACCUAUGAAAUAAUGGCAAAUUAAAAAAUCUAUUAACAAGUGUACACCGAGCAUACUUGCUGUUACUAAUUUAACAUUUAGAUGAUUGUAGAUUAUAUUUCUGUUACAAUAUUUAACAAUCUAUUAUAAGCCAAUUCACGCGUCACUUGUAUGAAUUUCUAUUAUAUCAAUCAUCUCUUAAUACCAGCAAUCACUUCCAAUCAGUAUCAUCUUAAUUAAGUAAUGGCAAAUCGAUGCUUUGAGACGAUUGAACGUUACACUCCUAAAAAAAUAUUUAUUAUUUCACGUCUUCUUAUUUCAAGGAAGAGUUCAUAU